rnacentral:rRNA from 1 species
UACGUAGGGGGCGAGCGUUAUCCGGAAUUAUUGGGCGUAAAGAGUACGUAGGUGGUUUCCUAAGCGAGGGGUUUAAGGCAAUGGCUUAACCAUUGUUCGCCCCCCGAACUGGGUUACUUGAGUGCUGGAGGGGAAAGCGGAAUUCCUAGUGUAGCGGUGAAAUGCGUAGAUAUUAGGAGGAACACCAGUGGCGAAGGCGGCUUUCUGGACAGUAACUGACACUGAGGUACGAAAGUGUGGGGAGCAAACA